CAACGCCGCGUGGAGGACGACGGCCUUCGGGUUGUAAACUCCUUUCGGGGGGGAUGAAACGGACAGUACCCCCAGAAGCAGCCCCGGCUAACUCUGUGCCAGCAGCCGCGGUAAUACAGAGGGGGCAAGCGUUGUCCGGAAUUACUGGGCGUACAGCGCGCGCAGGCGGCUCGCGCCGUGCCGUGUGACAAGCCACCGCUCAACGGUGGAGGGCCAUGGUACACGAGCGAGCUGGAGGCAGGGAGAGGGAUGUGGAAUGCCCGGUGGAGCGGUGAAAUGCGUAGAGAUCGGGCGGAACACCAGCGGCGAAGGCGGCAUCCUGGCCCUGUACUGACGCUGAGGCGCGAGAGCGUGGGGAGCGAACUGGAUUAGAUACCCAGGUAGUCCACGCCGUAAACGAUGUGUACCCGGCGCUGGGACGUGAUUGCGCGUCUCGGUGCCUGCGCUUACGCAAUGAGUACACCGCCUGGGGACUACGGCCGCAAGGCUAAAACUCAAAGGAAUUGACGG
rnacentral:rRNA from 1 species